GCAUCCUUUGUUGGCUGCCUUUCCCACUCCGGUCCAGCGCCUACUGGUAAACUUGGAGGUACUUCAGGGCCGGCAAGAUGGCUCGGGAUAAAAGCACUUGCUGUCCAAGACUGACUAUCCACAUGGAGGAAGGAAGAGAACUGACUCUCAGAAGCUGUCCUCUAAUCUCUACAUGUACACCAUGGCAUGCAUAUGCCAUUAUUGACAUAAAUCAGAUACAGAAUACACAUACAAUAUGUUUAGAAAUUGCUUUAAGUAUAUGGUAUGAAAACACUAGAUUUUGACCUCUGGAGUUAAUAUAGCUUUUUAAAACUCUCAUUAAAAAACCCAUGAUUAAAAUCUUUAUUCCAAUGAAUAAAGGAUAAAGACUCAAAAAGCUGUAA